rnacentral:lncRNA from 1 species
GGAUAAAGCAUUAAAAAAAAUCUCUCUUCUCAUGGAGUCUGAAUCUAAAGAGGAUAUGAGGGGCCAUUGAAACCCAUCUGGGUCUCUACUUUGCAUAUCACCCUGAGGAAGUGAGCCACCACUGAGUCUAGCUGGCGAGUAGAAUCUUGCUCCCUGCUGACCUGCUUCCCUGCCACUUGGACCUGCCUAGUGCCAGUUCCUGGAUUCUCUUUAGCCUUGCUUCACCUGCCUGUUAUGAUAUGCUACCUCUUGCUAGUCUACUCUCAUGUGUCCUAGCUGGGUUCACCAUCUGUUGCUCAUUACUGUACUCUCUGGACCUGCUGUCUGCCUCCAUGCAUGUGCACAUUGGCAACUGAAUCCAGAUCUGCCUCUGCAUCUCUACCACCUGCUUCAGCCCUGUGGGAUAUCUUGUUCCAGCUUUCUUCUGAAACUGCCUUACCCUACCUUUUCAGUCUAAUAAGUUUUGAUGAGAUCUUUUAAAUAAUAUGUCAAACCCAUUUCUGUCUCCUUAAACAGUAAACAUAAUGUAAUUGAAAGAGAAAAAAAAUGUUUUCUUAAAGAUGCAGAGGCUGGUGUUGUAAUAUUUUUUUUUUAUCCAGUGGCUAUUGAAAUAUGUUGGAUUUCAAUAAAUGGUCCCAAAUUUUUAGGUUUUGAAGAUAUAUGUGUUGUUAAUAAGGAAGUGUGUGUGUGUGUGUUUGUGCACAAAAUAAGUAUAUAAGCCAUCAAUUUUGCUGUUUCUGGAUUGCCAUGACCUGGAAAACCAAGUUUGUUGAAGUAUUUAUAAUGUAAGAAAAAAAGACUGUUGAUGAACUACUUUUUAAUAAGUUGCUCAAUUAUACAGAAUUCUUUUUUGUUGGCUUCAGUUGUUUAAAGGAUUUUUACACACUAUCAAGUUCCUGGUUACAUUGUGGAUAACUGAUAAUCCUGAGCAAAUGAUACAUUAAUCACUGUAUGCCAGUUUUCCCUGCUCUUUCACCUUCAUUUAUCUUUGAUCUACAAGUGUUUGUUUGUUCCCUGACUGCAAAGAUAUUUUAGCAUGCGUGAAUUGGUAGGAAAAUACACUGUCACACAGACAUUAUUUUACUUCUGCUAAGGCAAACUGUCAAUUGAACAUUUUGUUUAAGUUUCUGUCAUGAGUAAGAUGUUAUUUAAGUGUUACGUGGAUAAAAUUAUGAGAAUAACUUGGUCUUUGUUCACAACCAGUUGACAAUCUAGUAAAUGGAGAAUGCCAGUGGAUAAGAACCUGCAAAAACGCCUUCAGAAUUCAGUUCUAAGAAAGGUCUUAGUUAUUGAGGGAAAUGUAGGAGCCAAAGCAUGGUAUUUGGGAACAUGUAGGAUGUGUUUUAGUAAGCAGCAAAUAUUCUAAUUUGGUUUAGUUCUAGAAAAAAGAAUACUGUGGGAAGAUAUUUUUAAAAAGUGAGUUUAAUUUAAUAGUCAAUGAAGGGCUACUGAAUAGAUCAGUGAAAUGAUCAGAGCUGAGAUUUAGACUUAAAUCUCAGCGUUUCAGAGCUUUAGAUUUAAAUCUGGCAAGUGUAGAGUUGGAGCAAACAAACCAUACAAUUUGGUUUGGACCAAAUGUAUAUUGGAUGAGAUAGUGAAUAAGAGAAAGAGUAUAGUACUAGACACCCAAAUACAAAGGCUGGCACUAUCACUGACUAUAUGACAUGAAUAACUUAAUUUGCAUAAAAUAGCUAUUACAGAUACUAUCCAUAAGCUUCUGUUCUUGAAAGAGGGCAUAGAGUUUAUGUGUAUGUACUACGUCCAAGUAGAUAUUAUCAUAUAUCUAGUGGUCUCCAUGUAACAUAACAGGAUAUGGUGGCAAACACUACAGGCUCUGAAGCCAGACUUCCUGUGUUCAAGUCUAGGCUCUUUCAUUUACUUAAUGUAUAAUCUAGGGCAGUUUAUUUAACCUCUUUUUGCUUUGGUUUCCCUAUCUGUAAAAGGCAGAUAAUAGCACCUAGUGCUAUUAUCCGAGAAUUGUCAUGAGGUUAAUGAAUUAAUAUUUGUAAAGCCCUUAGAAGAGUGCCCGGCACAUGGUAAUGAUUCAAUAAAGAAGAUUAUUAUUAAUUACAGUAAAUAAAAUUAUUACAAUUUUAAAUGUAUCACAAUUAUUCAUAUCACAAUUUUAAGUAUAAUCUUUAACACGUAAGUAGGUAAAACUUCUGAUUUAAUAGCCCAGGGAGUCAGUACUAAUCCUGUUACUAUUUACCAACUUUGUGAAUGUAGUACACUCAGAUUGAUGAAACCAACUCUGUGUUCCAGUGUCAGAGUCCAGCAAGUGAAUUCAUCAUAUUUUUCAAGGCAGUUCAUGGGGUUAUAAAUACUAAGUGAAUAGGAGCAUAAUUAAUUCUUUGGGAAGAACUUGGAGCAUAUCAAGUUUUAAUGUUUAAAAUGUUUAAAAGACUGAUUGUUAGUGCUUUGGGAAUGGAGUAAGCAUAUAACAGAAGUAAGUAAAUAUUUUUCUCAGUGUUGUACUCAUUCAACCAGGAGAGCUUGAAUUAUUAUUAUUGUGAAAAUAAU